GUGAAAUUUGAGGGCCAACAAAUAUGUUGUAUCGUGGAUGUCCCCCUUUACAUCAUUGUUUUAUGAAAUGCACUAACGCUCCUGGAAGGUUGUUCUGAGUAUAUUUGUAUAUUUUUUGCAACAAGUAUGAUUUGGUGUGAAGUUAUCCAAUGUCGUGUGAUGAACCUUGAUGUUUAGUAUUGAAUCAUUAGUAAGUGUUUAGUAACCUGCUUUUUUAGAUGUUACCUUUGUAGCGAAGUUGUUUUUGGCAUAACUUUAAUCUAUA
rnacentral:rRNA from 1 species